rnacentral:rRNA from 1 species
CCAAUAGCGUAUAUUAAAGUUGUUGCAGUUAAAAAGCUCGUAGUUGAACUUCGGGAUCAAUGGAUCGGUCAUGCCCUCGGUAUGUACUGGUCUCAUUGGUUCUCACCUUCUAAGGAACCAUGAUGUCAUUCAUUUGAUGUUAUGGGAAAUUAGGACUGUUACCUUGAAAAAAUUAGAGUGUUUAAAGCAGGCUUACGCUUGAAUACAUUAGCAUGGAAUAAUGAAAUAGGACAUCGCAUUCUAUUUUGUUGGUUUCUAGGAUCGAUGUAAUGAUUAAUAGGGAUAGUUGGGGGCAUUAGUAUUCAAUUGUCAGAGGUGAAAUUCUUGGAUUUAUUGAAGACUAACUACUGCGAAAGCAUUUGCCAAGGAUGUUUUCAUUAAUCAAGAACGAAAGUUAGGGGAUCGAAGACGAUCAGAUACCGUCGUAGUCUUAACCAUAAACUAUGCCGACUAGGGAUCGGAUGAUGUUGAUUUUAUAAUGACUCAUUCGGCACCUUACG